rnacentral:lncRNA from 10 species
GCGGGGCGUGCGAGAACCCGGGGCGACCACGGCGGGACGGCAUUGGGGGGCCGGAGGCGGGCAUCGGGAAGCGGGUAGAGCGUUGGGGGCGCUGCAGUGGGAGCUUGGGGCGGCCCCCGGGGCGGGAUUGAGGGGGAGGGGAGGGGAGGCGUUGGCCGCCGGGCUAGCCGCCGGCGGGGCUCCAGGCCGGGACGGUCGGGGAUGGUUCCACAGAGGACCCAGCCGUCUGCCCCGAGCUGGGCGCUGCGCGGCUGCUCCGGGGGAAGCUUGGUGAGGAGGAGUCGGGCCAGCCGGUGAUGCCUGCGCCUCUUGCGCAUGCUGACCCCCUCAAGGAGCGGGGCCAGAGAAUCGCUCCUUUCUGGCAGGGACUGUGGCCGCUUUCGGCCUGGGAAUGAAGCGACGUAGCCUGCUGGGGCUGUGAGGGACUGAUUCUGGCACAGUGACCGCAGAACCUGGGGGGCGGAGCACAUGCCCCCGGAAGGCUGUGAAAUCCCGCCAGUGGCAGUGACAGAGGCGAAUAUGAGGGUCCUCAGAGGAAAAACAAAGAAGAUAGGAGCAGCAGAAAAUGGCCCCCACGAGGAUCUGAGCCAACCUCGCCACCCCUAGGGCUCCCGGCCCUGCUUCCCUGGGAAAGCCUGGCCAUGUGGGUCACCCCUGUGAGCAUACCCUUUCUGAGUGUCUGAUGGCCAGUUUGCCAGGUGAGCUUCAGGUGCAUGUGGGGCAAAGCAAGGGUGGGGAAGGGAGGAGACCGGGCCUGAGCAGUCACUCCCUCUCGGGGCCUCGGUUUCCCCAUCUGAGACCCAUCCAACUCCAGCGAGUGGUGGCUUUUCUCCAAGGCAUGAUGUCCUGUGUGGGAGCCCUGGCCCCUGGUUCUGCUUUUCCACUAGGUGUGACUGGUCUCACAUCCUUCCCCAUCCAUAGGACCCCCCUCCUGUGGGGAGAGGGCACUUGUUUGUCCUCUUUUGCUCAGGGGGCUGGGCCACCUCCCUUGAAAUGGGGCUGACUCAGCAGAGGGAGUGCAGACGGCAGCCCAGCCCACCCAGGCUGCAGCGACCCCAGUGGGAGGCCCACCCGCCCCACGGCCAUGGGCUCCAGUGAGCCCCCAAAGUCUGGCUCCAGCACCAGGAAGUGAGAGGCAGCAGAGGGAAGCAGACAGGACGGGAGACCCUCCCCACCCCCCACACACCCCCCUGCAAUGAUGGCAUGCUUAAAGGCAUGGAGGCUGCCUCCAAGAAGACGUGUGAGAUUGUAAAUGUGCAUCACAAGCGCCUCCGGCAUCACAGAGCUCCCUUCCACUGGGGGUGAAGCACUCUCCCAGCAGCAGCUUAGUGGUCCCCAAGGAAGGAGGCAGCUGCCUGGCCGGCUGAGGGGCAGGGGGCUCUAGUCCCAGUCCUGGACUCUCAGGACCACAUUUGGUGCAAGAGGGUGCUGAGAAGGAUGAUCCGACAUCCAUGAACUCGGGAAGGACCCUGCUGUUUCGCCAGAGAAGGGAGGCCAUCAGCUCAUGGCAGCUUUUGGUGGUGGUGGGAGUGGCAGGCCAGCCCUGAGUGGCCCCACCAGACCCCCACUUGAAGCCCUGGCCCAGCUCCAGCCAGGAGCCUAUCAGAAUGCCCAGGAGCCCAGGGCAUGUGGUUGGUAGGACCCAGUGCCCCAGGCAGGGUAAUAUCAGAGAUACACCUGAGGUCUGGCAGGGCUGGCCCAGCUCUUACCUCCCUGCACCUAGGAUGAUGGCGGCAGAUAGAGGCAGUCCCCUCAGCCUACCUGGACCCAGGGAGAAUCACACCCCCUCCCACGAAUGUCCCAGGCUCUAACUCCCUUUCACGUCUGGCUGCCCUCGCCCACCGUGGCCUACCUGCUGCCUCAGCCACAGCCGCUAGUGUCCCUUCCCAGAGGGCAGCAUUCACCUGCCCCCACCUCCUGCUUCUCUCAAGCCAUAUCCAGACAACCUUGGGCACAGUGUGAGGUGGAGACGUUUCCCAGGAAGUGUGGGCUUUUUUAUUCUCAUCUGCCAUAAUGCAGUCUGGCCCCUAUGUUUCUGUUGGAGAAGCUGGGGCUGGCGGUUCUCUGGCUGGAAAGUGCAUUGUACCCCACAACUCCCCACGGCCUCCCAGGCCUAAGAAGCUCUCCAGGUAAGGGAUGGCUUGUCCAGGUAGGCAGGACAAGCCAUCACUGGGCCCACAGUCAGGUGAACAGAAAUCCACCUCCAGUCAAAAACAGGCCAGGUGUGGUGGCUUACCCCUCUACUCCCAGCACUUUGGGAGGCCAAGGCUGGAGGUUCAUUUGAGGCCCAGGGUUUGAGACCAGCUAUAGACACAUUGCAAGACCCUGUGUCUAUUAAAAAAAACAAACAAACAAAUAAGCGGGCCAGGCGUGGUGGCUCAUGCCCGUAAUCCCAGCACUUUGGGAGGCUGAGGUUGGGGGAUCACCUGAGGUCAGGAGUUCAAGUCUGGGCUGACCAACAUGGUGAAACCCUGUCUCUACUAAAAAUACAAAAGACAUUAGACAGGCUUGGUGGUGGGUGCCUGUAAUCCUAGCUACUCACGAGGCUGAGACAGGGGAAUCACUUGAACCCAGGGGGCGGAGGUUGCAGUGAGCCGAGAUCGUGCCAUUGCACUCCAGCCUGGGCAACAAGAGCAAAACUCCAUCUAAAAAAAAACAAAGAAGAGAAAAUAAGAAAAACAGAUUAGCAAAUUAGCUGGGCCAGGCACAGUGGCUCACACCUGUAAUCCCAGCAAUUUGGGAGGCCAAAGCAGGCGAAUCACUUGAGGCCAGGAGUUCAAGACCAGCCUGGCCAACAUGGCGAAACCCCGUCUCUACUAAAAAUAUAAAUAAAUAAAUAAAUAAAUAAGUUAGCUGGCCAUCAUGGUGUGUGCCUGUAGUCUCAGCUACUCAGGAGGCUGGGGAAGGAGGAUUGCUUGAACCCAGGAGUUCAAGGCUGCACUGAGCUAUGAUCG